CUACGGAGGGUGCAAGCGUUACUCGGAAUCACUGGGCGUAAAGGAUGCGUAGGCGGAUAAUCAAGUCAAAAGUGAAAUCCCACGGCUUAACCGUGGAACUGCUUUCGAAACUGGUUAUCUAGAAUAUGGAAGAGGCAGAUGGAAUUAGUGGUGUAGAGGUAAAAUCCGUAGAGAUCACUAGGAAUACCGAUUGCGAAGGCGAUCUGCUGGGACAUUAUUGACGCUGAGGCAUGAAAGCGUGGGGAGCAAACAGGAUUAGAAACCCUAGUAGUCC
rnacentral:rRNA from 1 species